rnacentral:rRNA from 1 species
GGAAUCUUCCACAAUGGGCGCAAGCCUGAUGGAGCAACACCGCGUGAGUGAAGAAGGGUUUCGGAUCGUAAAACUCUGUUGUUGGAGAAGAACACGUUUGAGAGCAACUGUUCACGCAGUGACGGUAUCCAACCAGAAAGCCACGGCUAACUACGUGCCAGCAGCCGCGGUAAUACGUAGGUGGCAAGCGUUGUCCGGAUUUAUUGGGCGUAAAGCGAGCGCAGGCGGUUUUUUAAGUCUGAUGUGAAAGCCUUCGGCUUAACCGGAGAAGUGCAUCGGAAACUGGGAGACUUGAGUGCAGAAGAGGACAGUGGAACUCCAUGUGUAGCGGUGGAAUGCGUAGAUAUAUGGAAGAACACCAGUGGCGAAGGCGGCUGUCUAGUCUGUAACUGACGCUGAGGCUCGAAAGCAUGGGUAGCGAACA